rnacentral:lncRNA from 1 species
AAUGCUUGAAUCAAAAAGGUUUAAAAGCUUCAAACUCGGGAAGCAUUUAAAGGGGCUGAAUGAGAAAAAAGGUUGCAGAAUUCCAUUUCGUCUAAUGCCUCUGAUAUUAGGACAGUGCCUCCCCAUCGCUUCUAAAAUCAAGGGGAUCAUGUAUGGUGAAUCAGAGAAGUCCACAAGUUCUAAGAUUGAGACAGCAACGAACAACUUCCAAUAAGACUUCUUCAGAGGCAUUGAAGGAUCCAUGA